UCGAUUGGGCCUAAAAUUGUUGGAGACGCCUACCGAGGGAAGUGCAGGCUCAGGGCUGAAUCGUGCAGUUGCUGCGCUUUAUCCACACCUCUAUAGGACGAUUAUUUAAAAUGCCUUUACUGAGAAAUUCAUUUAUGUAUUUAUUGGAGAAGCAGGAAUCACUAAAUUGGUAUGCUGCGGAGGUUGCCGCCGGCGCAGCAUGUGUGUGCAAAGGAGUAAGUAGCGUGACAGCUGUGAGUGCGUGCUGUAAGUGCUGG
rnacentral:lncRNA from 1 species